rnacentral:rRNA from 1 species
GAUUAACGCUGGCGGCGUGCCUAAUGCAUGCAAGUCGAAUGGGAUCCACUUCGGUGGACACCCAUGGCGGACGGGUGAGGAACACGUAGCUAACCUGCCCUGGUGCGGGGGAUAGCCUCCGGAAACGGAGUGUAAUACCGCAUGUGGUCGGUCAUCGGGAGAUGGGUGAUCAAAGACGUAAGUUCGUGCCAGGAGGGGCUGCGGCCGAUUAGCUAGUUGGUGGGGUAAUGGCUUACCAAGGCGAUGAUCGGUAGCUGGUCUGAGAGGACGG